GCCUCGUCAAAAUAGUUGGUCGAGCGUUAGACUUUUAAUCUUGCGGUCAGGGGUUCGAGUCCCCUACGAGGCU
rfam:Angiostrongylus costaricensis strain Costa Rica genome assembly, scaffold: ACOC_scaffold0002265